UAAGUCUUCUGCCCAUUCUCUACACCUCUCAUCUCUGAUAUCAUGAUUUUUCAAACCCUCGUGUACAAACAUUAGUAUUUUUGGAGGAGCUCAAUAAGAUUGUGUGUAUAAAUAGGAGUACAUAGAGGGUCCAAAGCCCACACACACAUCCAUAAACUAAUUAAAAUAAAAAAUAAAAAAAAAUCUCAUAAAUAAUAUUCAUUCAACAUGAAGGCCUUUAUGAUGCUAUGUCUUAUCCUGCUUUCCCUGCUCUUUUCUGCCUUCUCAGUCACCGCCAGGGAACUGAAUGAUGUAACGUUCGUACCUCGACCUCGACCGGUCUUUGAUCGUAGACCUCCUCCUCCUCCAGGAAAGGAAGAAUGCAAAAGGGGACAUUACAAUCGAGAAUGCCAUUUCCGGUCUCGAACUCCGCCUCGAAAGCCAGCGUCAGCAGAGCCCCCAAAUUAAGCUCGUCAGAAUUACGCCUCCGAUUCACUACUCUUUCAAUAGUGAAAUUCUUCUCUUGUGUGGAUCGCUGAUUAAUUUAGUUAUUAUAAGUCAUAUUUAUGUGGCAACUUUCGCUUUUGCCACUUUAAAGUACUUUUCUCAUUUAAUAAAAGUCAGAGAUUUUGUGAUUAGAGAAAAACCAUGUAAUGUAUAAUAUGAAAGAAAAUAUUUAAUUGUAGCAACCACUGUUGUGUUGUGUCCAAAAUAUGUUUUCUGCUUGUACUAUUUACGGAAUAAGAGAAACUGACCUACCUGAUCAGUUUUCCCUUGUAAUGAAGUUCUAUAAUUUUUUGAGCU